GGUUAAGUGAAUAAGGGCGCACGGUGGAUGCCUUGGCACUAGGAGCCGAUGAAGGACGGGACUAACACCGAUAUGCUUUGGGGAGCUGUACGUAAGCUAUGAUCCAGAGAUUUCCGAAUGGGGGAACCCAACAUCUUUAAUAGGAUGUUACGAUUGUGUGAAUACAUAGCACAUUCGAGGUAGACGCAGAGAACUGAAACAUCUAAGUACCUGCAGGAAGAGAAAGAAAAUUCGAUUCCCUGAGUAGCGGCGAGCGAAACGGGAAAAGCCCAAACCAGCAAGCUUGCUUGUUGGGGUUGUAGGACUCCGAUAUGGUAGUUCUUUCAGAUAGUCGAAUGACUUGGAAAAGUCAGUCAAAGAGGGUAAAAACCCCGUAGACGAAAUGUGGAAGACACCUAGGAGGAUCCUGAGUACGGCGGAACACGAGAAAUUCCGUCGGAAUCCGGGAGGACCAUCUCCCAAGGCUAAAUACUCCCUAGUGACCGAUAGUGAACCAGUACCGUGAGGGAAAGGUGAAAAGCACCCCGGAAGGGGAGUGAAAUAGAACCUGAAACCGUGUGCCUACAACAAGUCAAAGCCCGUUAAUGGGUGAUGGCGUGCCUUUUGUAGAAUGAACCGGCGAGUUACGAUUGCAUGCGAGGUUAAGUUGAAGAGACGGAGCCGCAGCGAAAGCGAGUCUGAAUAGGGCGUUUGAGUAUGUAGUCGUAGACCCGAAACCAUGUGAUCUACCCAUGUCCAGGUUGAAGGUGCGGUAAAACGCACUGGAGGACCGAACCCACGUACGUUGAAAAGUGCGGGGAUGAGGUGUGGGUAGCGGAGAAAUUCCAAACGAACUUGGAGAUAGCUGGUUCUCUCCGAAAUAGCUUUAGGGCUAGCCUCGGAAUUGAGAAUGAUGGAGGUAGAGCACUGUUUGGACUAGGGGCCCAUCUCGGGUUACCGAAUUCAGAUAAACUCCGAAUGCCAUUCAUUCAUAUCCGGGAGUCAGACUGUGAGUGAUAAGAUCCAUAGUCGAAAGGGAAACAGCCCAGACCACCAGCUAAGGUCCCAAAAUAUAUGUUAAGUGGAAAAGGAUGUGGGGUUGCACAGACAACUAGGAUGUUGGCUUAGAAGCAGCCACCAUUUAAAGAGUGCGUAAUAGCUCACUAGUCGAGUGACCCUGCGCCGAAAAUGUACCGGGGCUAAACAUAUUACCGAAG
rnacentral:rRNA from 1 species